rnacentral:snRNA from 1 species
AUCUCUUCUUGGCCUUUUGGCUAAGAUCAAGUGUAAAAAUAUGUGCCAAAAUGUUUUACAGACAUAAAAUGUCAUUUUCACUGCCUUUGUACCACCAAUUUUUAACUUAGCCAUCUACAUCAAUUGUUGAUGGUGCUAGAUGUUAA